rnacentral:rRNA from 1 species
GACGAACGCUGGCGGCGCGCUUAACACAUGCAAGUCGAACGGAAAGGCCUGCUUUCCCUUGUGGAUUGCGGGUACUCGAGUGGCGAACGGGUGAGUAACACGUGAGCGAUCUGCCCCCAACUUGGGUAUAAGCCUGGGAAACUGGGUCUAAUUCCCGAUAGGACUUCAGGGUGGUGCCUGUGGUGGAAAACGAUUUUCUAGUGGUUGGGGAUGAGCUCGCGGCCUAUCAGCUUGUUGGUGGGGUAAUGGCCUACCAAGGCGGCGACGGGUAGCCGGCCUGAGAGGGUGGACGGCCACAUUGGGACUGAGAUACGGCCCAGACUACUACGGGAGGCAGCAGUGGGGAAUAUUGCACAAUGGGCGGAAGCCUGAUGCAGCGACGCCGCGUGGGGGAUGACGGCCUUCGGGUUGUAAACUCCUUUCGACCGCGAGGAAGCCACCUGGUUGGAAGGGUGGUGACGGUAGUGGUAGAAGAAGCACCGGCUAACUACGUG